UUUUAACAUCCACUAACGAUCGUGUUUCAGUCAGUACAGUGUGUGUGUGACUGAGGCUGGUGACUCGCAGUCUCGCUUUGAUUUGUUCACUGAACGUACUGAACGAGAGUUCCGCCUCCGAGUCACUCUCUUUCUCUCAGUCAGUCAGUGAGUGAGUGAUUUGUGUACUGAACGUACUGAACAGAACGGUCGGGGAAAAUAAAUGUGAUUGUUUUAGCAGCUUUCA